rnacentral:rRNA from 1 species
GACAGAGGGUGCAAACGUUGCUCGGAAUUACUGGGCGUAAAGCGCGUGUAGGUGGUCACGCAAGUCAGGUGUGAAAGCCCAGGGCUCAACCCUGGAAGUGCACAUGAUACUACGUGGCUGGAGUACUGAAGAGGAGAGCGGAAUUCCCGGUGAGAGGUGAAAUUCGUAGAUAUCGGGAGGAACACCAGUGGCGAAGGCGGCACUCUGGGCAGAUACUGACACUGAGACGCGAAAGCGUGGGUAGCAA